rnacentral:rRNA from 1 species
AACGUAGGACGCAAGCGUUAUCCGGAGUUACUGGGCGUAAAGCGCGAGCAGGCGGCUCGACAAGUUCGCUGUGAAAGCUCCCGGCUCAACCGGGCGAGGCCAGUGGAAACUAUCGAGCUGGAGGGCAGUAGAGGCAGGCGGAAUUCCGGGUGGAGUGGUGAAAUGCGUAGAUAUCAGGAGGAACACCUGCGGUGUAGACGGCUUACUGGACCAUAACUGACGCUGAGGCACGAAAGCGUGGGUAGCAAACAGG